rnacentral:rRNA from 1 species
UACGGAGGGGGCUAGCGUUGUUCGGAAUUACUGGGCGUAAAGCGCACGUAGGCGGCUUUGUAAGUUAGAGGUGAAAGCCCGGGGCUCAACUCCGGAAUUGCCUUUAAGACUGCAUCGCUCGAAUUGUGGAGAGGUAAGUGGAAUUCCGAGUGUAGAGGUGAAAUUCGUAGAUAUUCGGAAGAACACCAGGGGCGAAGGCGACUUACUGGACACAUAUUGACGCUGAGGUGCGAAAGCGUGGGGAGCAAACAGG